rnacentral:rRNA from 1 species
ACGAAGGGUGCGAGCGUUGUCCGGAAUCACUGGGCGUAAAGGGCGCGUAGGCGGCAUGCCAAGCGUGUGGUGAAAGCCCGGGGCUCAACCCCGGGUCGGCCGUGGCAACUACUCGGCUCGAGCACUGUAGGGGCGGGUGGAAUUCCGGGUGUAGCGGUGGAAUGCGUAGAGAUCCGGAAGAACACCGGUGGCGAAGGCGGCCCGCUGGGCAGGAAGGGAGAGCAAUCUCCCGGCUGACGCUGAGGCGCGACAGCGUGGGGAGCAAACAGGA